CCUGCCCAUAGAGACAUUGCAUGCAUGGCUGCUGUGUCACUUGUGCUUCACUAAGUGGCAGAGAGGAGAAAGGCUAUGUCUAUCCUCAGUGCUCUGCCCUGUGAAAAUCUGAAUGAUUAGUAGCCUAACACU